GACGAGCUCUUCUUUGAAGGAAGCUUCUGAACUGAACAACAAGGAGAUAAAUGGUCAUAAUAUCAGACCCCAAACUGAUGGAGCUAAUGGAGUUUCCGAGACCUCUCAGUCUAAUACAGAAGACAGCACUUUUGUUCCUAGA